rnacentral:rRNA from 1 species
CCCUUAGAUGUUCUGGGCUGCACGCGUGCUACAAUGAAGCGUCCAACAGGAUGCGAAGCCGAAAGGCUCAGCGGAUCUUUGAAGUCGUUUCGUGACCGGGACAGUUGAUUGCAAUUAUUCGACUCGAACGAGGAAUUCCUUGUAAUCGCGAUUCAUCAUAUCGCGCUGAAUACGUCCCUGCCCUUUGUACACACCGCCCGUCGCUCCUACCGAUUGAGCGAUCCGGUGAAUUAUUUGGAGUGUCCACGCAAGCCAAUCCGUUUACGUGGGUGCGAAAUUUUGUAAACCUUAUCGCUUAGAGGAAGGAAAAGUCGUAACA